UUUCUUGAAGGUUUUUCUCUCCAAAUCAACUUGGAUCAUGUUCGGAUAGGAGACUUUAAUUGGUUCUCCAAUGUAGAGUCCAAGUGACUAGAGUCCAAGGAGUGUUCGAGUUGGAGUCCAAUGCAGCCAAGGUACUUCAGUAUAGUCGAUGGGUCUGUAGCAGUGGGCUUGGGAUAUUAUGACUGAAGCUCACCGCGACGGUUGUAAUUGUCGGACCACGGGUUGUCCACUAUUUUAUAGGUUUGGUAUGGCUUGUGACGUUUGUGUCACUUAUUCUUUGUUAAGCCAUUAUUGUUAUAGUGUUAAUAAGACUCAAACAUAUAGAUGUUAAAUGGCUCUUUGUUGUAAUUAAUUUGUGAUAGAUGUAUAAGUUGUAAUUUCCGCUA